rnacentral:misc_RNA from 1 species
CCAAUAGCGUAUAUUAAAGUUGUUGCAGUUAAAAAGCUCGUAGUUGAAUUUCGGGAUUGACGUGAUGGUCAUGCCUUAAGGGGUAUGAACUGUUGCUGUUGAUUUCUCACCUUCUGGAGAAACUUGAUGUCCUUUAUUGGGUGUCUUGCGGAUCCAGGACCUUUACCUUGAAAAAAUUAGAGUGUUUAAAGCAGGCAUUUUUGCUCGAAUACAUUAGCAUGGAAUAAUAGAAUAGGACGGCAUGGUUCUAUUUUGUUGGUUUCUAGGAUCACCGUAAUGAUUAAUAGGGAUAGUUGGGGGCAUUAGUAUUAAAUUGUCAGAGGUGAAAUUCUUGGAUUUAUUGAAGACUAACUACUGCGAAAGCAUUUGCCAAGGAUGUUUUCAUUAAUCAAGAACGAAAGUUAGGGGAUCGAAGACGAUCAGAUACCGUCGUAGUCUUAACCAUAAACUAUGCCGACUAGGAAUCAGACGAUGUUAAUUUUUUAAUGACUCGUUUGGCACCUUACG